rnacentral:rRNA from 1 species
UUAGAGUUUGAUCCUGGCUCAGGAUGAACGCUAGCUACAGGCUUAACACAUGCAAGUCGAGGGGCAUCGCGGCGUGGCAACACGCUGGCGGCGACCGGCGGAAGGGUGCGUAACACGUGAGCAACAUGCCCGUAUCUGGGACAUAACCGAUGGAAACGUCGACUAAUUUCCCAUAACAACAGAAGUGACAUCGUUUUUGUUUGAAAGCUUCGGCGGAUACGGAUUGGCCCGCGCCCCAUUAGCUAGUUGGAGUGGUAACGGCACACCAAGGCGACGAUGGGUAGGGGCUCUGAGAGGAAGGUCCCCCACAUUGGAACUGAGACACGGUCCAAACUCCUACGGGAGGCAGCAGUGAGGAAUAUUGGUCAAUGGACGGAAGUCUGAACCAGCCAUGCCGCGUGCAGGAAUAAGGCCCUAUGGGUUGUAAACUGCUUUUAACCGGGAAUAACGUCACGGACGUGUCCGUGAGUGCAUGUACCGGUUGAAUAAGGAUCGGCUAACUCCGUGCCAGCAGCCGCGGUAAUACGGAGGAUCCGAGCGUUAUCCGGAUUUAUUGGGUUUAAAGGGAGCGUAGGCGGAGGAUCAAGUCAGCUGUGAAAUGUAGUCGCUCAACGUCUGCACUGCAGUUGAAACUGGUCCCCUUGAGUGCGUAAGAGGCAGGCGGAAUUCGUCGUGUAGCGGUGAAAUGCUUAGAUAUGACGAAGAACUCCUAUUGCGAAGGCAGCUUGCUGGGCCGCAACUGACGCUGAAGCUCGAAGGUGCGGGUAUCGAACAGGAUUAGAUACCCUGGUAGUCCGCACAGUAAACGAUGGAUACUCGCUGUCGGCGAUACACAGUCGGUGGCCAAGCGAAAGCGUUAAGUAUCCCACCUGGGGAGUACGCCGGCAACGGUGAAACUCAAAGGAAUUGACGGGGGCCCGCACAAGCGGAGGAACAUGUGGUUUAAUUCGAUGAUACGCGAGGAACCUUACCCGGGCUUGAAUUGCUGGAGACGGUUGGUGGAGACACCUUCCUUCCUUCGGGACUCCAGUGAAGGUGCUGCAUGGUUGUCGUCAGCUCGUGCCGUAAGGUGUCGGCUUAAGUGCCAUAACGAGCGCAACCCUUGCCGUUAGUUGCCAUCAGGUCAAGCUGGGCACUCUAGCGGGACUGCCAUCGUAAGAUGUGAGGAAGGUGGGGAUGACGUCAAAUCAGCACGGCCCUUAUGUCCGGGGCGACACACGUGUUACAAUGGGGGGUACAGAGGGAAGCCACCUGGCGACAGGGCGCGGAUCCCGAAAUCCCUUCUCAGUUCGGAUCGGAGUCUGGAACUCGACUCCGUGAAGCUGGAUUCGCUAGUAAUCGCGCAUCAGCCAUGGCGCGGUGAAUACGUUCCCGGGCCUUGCACUCACCGCCCGUCAAG